AGUGAACGCUGGCGGUAGGCCUAACACAUGCCAGUCGAACGGCAGCACAGUAAGAGCUUGCUCUUACGGGUGGCGAGUGGCGGACGGGUGAGGAAUACAUCGGAAUCUACUUUUUCGUGGGGGAUAACGUAGGGAAACUUACGCUAAUACCGCAUACGACCUACGGGUGAAAGCAGGGGAUCUUCGGACCUUGCGCGAUUGAAUGAGCCGAUGUCGGAUUAGCUAGUUGGCGGGGUAAAGGCCCACCAAGGCGACGAUCCGUAGCUGGUCUGAGAGGAUGAUCGGCCACACGAGAACUUAGACACCGACCAUGGGCCUAAGAGAGGCAGCAGAGGGGAAUAUGGGACAAUGGGCGCAAGCCUGACCCAGCCAGACCGCGUGGGUUACGAAGGCCUUGGGGUCGUAAAGCCCUUUUGUUGGGAAAGAAAAGCAGCAGGUUAAUACCCCGCUGUUCUGACGGUACCCAAUGAAUAAGCACCGGCUAACUUCGUG
rnacentral:rRNA from 1 species